rnacentral:rRNA from 1 species
AGGGCACAUGGUGGAUGCCUUGGCAUCGAGAGCCGAUGAAGGACGUGGGAGGCUGCGAUAUGCCUCGGGGAGCUGUCAACCGAGCGUUGAUCCGAGGAUUUCCGAAUGGGGAAACCCAGCACGAGUUAUGUCGUGUUACUCGCAUCUGAAUAUAUAGGGUGCGAGAGGUAACGCGGGGAAGUGAAACAUCUCAGUACCCGUAGGAAGAGAAAACAAUUGUGAUUCCGCAAGUAGUGGCGAGCGAACGCGGAACAGGCUAAACCGCAUGCAUGGAUAACCGGGUAGGGGUUGUGUGUGCGGGGUUGUGGGAUUGAUAUUUCUUAGCCCUACCUGGCUAAGGGGCAGUAAAAAAGUGUCAUGAUUAGCGGAAAUGGCCUGGGAUGGUCUGCCGUAGACGGUGAGAGCCCGGUACGCGAAAAUCUGGCACCUGCCUUGUAUCAACACCCAAGUAGCAGCGGGCUCGUGGAAUCUGCUGUGAAUCUGCCGGGACCACCCGGUAAGCCUAAAUACUUCUCGAUGACCGAUAGCGGAUUAGUACCGUGAGGGAAUGGUGAAAAGUACCCCGGGAGGGGAGUGAAAUAGUACCUGAAACCGUGUGCCUACAAUCCGUCAGAGCCUCCUUGUGGGGUGAUGGCGUGCCUUUUGAAGAAUGAGCCUGCGAGUCAGGGACAUGUCGCGAGGUUAACCCGUGUGGGGUAGCCGUAGCGAAAGCGAGUCUGAAUAGGGCGUAUCACGCGUGAGCGUGUGUAGUGGCGUGUUCUGGACCCGAAGCGGAGUGAUCUACCCAUGGCCAGGGUGAAGCGCGGGUAAGACCGCGUGGAGGCCCGAACCCACUUAGGUUGAAGACUGAGGGGAUGAGUUGUGGGUAGGGGUGAAAGGCCAAUCAAACUCGGUGAUAGCUGGUUCUCCCCGAAAUGCAUUUAGGUGCAGCGUUACGUGGUUCACCACGGAGGUAGAGCUACUGGAUGGCCAAUGGGCCCUAAAAGGUUACUGACGUCAGCCAAACUCCGAAUGCCGUGGUGUAAAGCGUGGCAGUGAGACGGCGGGGGAGAAGCUCCGUACGUCGAAAGGGAAACAGCCCAGAUCGCCGACUAAGGCCCCUAAGCGUGUGCUAAGUGGAAAAGGAUGUGCAGUCGCAAAGACAACCAGGAGGUUGGCUUAGAAGCAGCCACCCUUGAAAGAGUGCGUAAUAGCUCACUGGUCAAGUGAUUGUGCGCCGAUAAUGUAGCGGGGCUCAAGCACACCGCCGAAGUCGCGGCACAUCCACGUUUACGUGGGUGUGGGUAGGGGAGCGUCCUUCACGCAGCGAAGCUAUCUGGUAAUGGAUGGUGGAGUGUGGAGGAGUGAGAAUGCAGGCAUGAGUAGCGAUUAGGCAAGUGAGAACCUUGCCCGCCGAAAGACCAAGGGUUCCUGGGCCAGGCCAGUCCGCCCAGGGUGAGUCGGGACCUAAGGCGAGGCCGACAGGCGUAGUCGAUGGACAACGGGUUGAUAUUCCCGUACCCGUGUGUGNNGGGGUGACGCAGGAAGGUAGCCGUACCAGUCAGUGGUAAUACUGGGGCAAGCCUGUAGGGAGAGCGAUAGGCAAAUCCGUCGUUCAUAUUCCUGAGAGGUGAUGCAUAGCCGAUUGAGGUGAAUUCGGUGAUCCUCAGCUGCCAAGAAAAGCCUCUAGCGAGCACACACAUGGCCCGUACCCCAAACCGACACAGGUGGUCAGGUAGAGAAUACCAAGGCGUACGAGAUAACUAUGGUUAAGGAACUCGGCAAAAUACCUCCGUAACUUCGGGAGAAGGAGGGCCGGCAUACCGUGAACAGCCUUGCGCUGGGAGCGGGCACCGGUCGCAGAAACCAGUGAGAAGCGACUGUUUACUAAAAACACAGGUCCGUGCGAAGUCGCAAGACGAUGUAUACGGACUGACGCCUGCCCGGUGCUGGAAGGUUAAGAGGACCCGUUAACUCGUAAGGGUGAAGCGGAGAAUUUAAGCCCCAGUAAACGGCGGUGGUAACUAUAACCAUCCUAAGGUAGCGAAAUUCCUUGUCGGGUAAGUUCCGACCUGCACGAAUGGCGUAACGACUUCUCAACUGUCUCAACCAUAGACUCGGCGAAAUUGCACUACGAGUAAAGAUGCUCGUUACGCGCGGCAGGACGAAAAGACCCCGGGACCUUCACUACAACUUGGUAUUGGUGUUCGGUACGGUUUGUGUAGGAUAGGUGGGAGACUGUGAAACUCCAACGCUAGUUGGGGCGGAGUCGUUGUUGAAAUACCACUCUGAUCGUAUUGGAUACCUAACUUCGAACCCUAUAUCGGGUUCAGGGACAGUGCCUGGCGGGUAGUUUAACUGGGGCGGUUGCCUCCUAAAAUGUAACGGAGGCGCCCAAAGGUUCCCUCAACCUGGACGGCAAUCAGGUGUUGAGUGUAAAUGCACAAGGGAGCUUGACUGCGAGACCUACAAGUCAAGCAGGGACGAAAGUCGGGAUUAGUGAUCCGGCACCUCUGAGUGGAAGGGGUGUCGCUCAACGGAUAAAAGGUACCCCGGGGAUAACAGGCUGAUCUUCCCCAAGAGUCCAUAUCGACGGGAUGGUUUGGCACCUCGAUGUCGGCUCGUCGCAUCCUGGGGCUGGAGCAGGUCCCAAGGGUUGGGCUGUUCGCCCAUUAAAGCGGCACGCGAGCUGGGUUCAGAACGUCGUGAGAC